rnacentral:rRNA from 1 species
AACGAACGCUGGCGGCGCGUUUUAAGCAUGCAAGUCGAGCGGCAGGGGGGCUUCGGUCCCCCGAGAGCGGCGGACGGGUGAGUAACACGUGGACAACCUGCCCCCCGGUUCGGGAUAGCCCAGGGAAACCUGGAUCAAUACCGGAUGCGAGGGCGGCCGCACAAGCGGCCGUCGGGAAAGGCGCUUCGGCGCCGCCGGGGGAUGGGUCCGCGUCCCAUUAGCUAGACGGUGGGGUAACGGCCCACCGUGGCGAUGAUGGGUAGCCGGCCUGAGAGGGUGGACGGCCACAUUGGAACUGAGACACGGUCCAGACUCCUACGGGAGGCAGCAGCUAAGAAUCUUCCGCAAUGGGCGAAAGCCUGACGGAGCGACGCCGCGUGAACGAAGAAGGCCGUGAGGUUGUAAAGUUCUUUUCGGGAGGGGGAACGAGGCUGCCAGGCAAUGGGCGGCCGAUGACGUGAAUCCCGGAAUAAGCCCCGGCUAACUACGUG